AACUGAAGGGACCUCUGUUCAUUGGUUUUGAGUCCAACCCUUCUCGAUUAACAGGGAACUUACCGGUAAAACAUACAUGUCUCUAUUUGUAUCUCUUUCUCUUUUGUUUUU
rnacentral:ribozyme from 1 species